GACGAACGCUGGCGGCGUGCUUAACACAUGCAAGUCGAGCGGUAAGGCCCUUUCGGGGGUACACGAGCGGCGAACGGGUGAGUAACACGUGGGUGACCUGCCCUUAGCUCUGGGAUAAGCCUGGGAAACUGGGUCUAAUACCGGAUAUGACUCCAUGACGCAUGUUGUGGGGUGGAAAGCCCUGUGCGGCUAGGGAUGGGCCCGCGGCCUAUCAGCUUGUUGGUGGGGUGAUGGCCACCAAGGCGACGACGGGUAGCCGGCCUGAGAGGGCGACCGGCCACACUGGGACUGAGACACGGCCCAGACUCCUACGGGAGGCAGCAGGUGGGGAAUCUUGCGCAAUGGGCGAAAGCCUGACGCAGCGACGCCGCGUGGGGAUGACGGCCU
rnacentral:rRNA from 1 species